CAAAAGGCUUUCUUUAAAGCUACCACACUGAAUUUAUUCAUAAAGA
rfam:Nestor notabilis contig46751, whole genome shotgun sequence.